rnacentral:rRNA from 1 species
UACGGAGGAUCCGAGCGUUAUCCGGAUUUAUUGGGUUUAAAGGGUGCGCAGGCGGGAGAUUAAGUCGGCGGUGAAAUUUUGCAGCUCAACUGUAAAAGUGCCUUCGAAACUGGUUUCCUUGAGUGUAGAUGAAGUAGGCGGAAUUUGUGGUGUAGCGGUGAAAUGCUUAGAUAUCACGAGGAACUCCGAUUGCGCAGGCAGCUUACUAAACUACUACUGACGCUCAGGCACGAAGGCGUGGGGAUCAAACAGGAUUAGAUACCCGCGUAGU